UACGAAGGGUGCAAGCGUUACUCGGAAUUACUGGGCGUAAAGCGUGCGUAGGUGGUGAGUUAAGUCUGUCGUGAAAGCCCCGGGCUCAACCUGGGAAUGGCGUUGGAUACUGGCUCGCUAGAGUGCGGUAGAGGAGAGUGGAAUUCCCGGUGUAGCAGUGAAAUGCGUAGAGAUCGGGAGGAACAUCAGUUGCGAAGGCGGCUCUCUGGACCAGCACUGACACUGAGGCACGAAAGCGUGGGGAGCAAACAGG
rnacentral:rRNA from 1 species